GAUGAAUGCUGGCGGCGUGCCUAACACAUGCAAGUCGAGCGGUAAGGCCCUUCGGGGUACACGAGCGGCGGACGGCUGAGUAACGCGUGGGAAUUUGCCCCAAAGUGAGGAAUAACUGCCCGAAAGGGUAGCUAAUGCCGCAUAUGGUCUUCGGAUUAAAGGAUUUAUCCGCUUUGGGAGAAGCCCGCGUUGGAUUAGGUAGUUGGUGAGAUAAAAGCUCACCAAGCCAACGAUCCAUAGCUGGUCUGAGAGGAUGACCAGCCAGACUGGAACUGAGACACGGUCCAGACUCCUACGGGAGGCAGCAGUGAGGAACCUUCCACAAUGGGCGAAAGCCUGAUGGAGCAACGCCGCGUGCAGGAUGAAGGCCUUCGGGUUGUAAACUGCUUUUAUGAGUGAAGAAUAUGACGGUAACUCAUGAAUAAGCACCGGCUAACUACGUGCCAGCCGCCGCCGUAAAAC
rnacentral:rRNA from 1 species